GCUAUCCCGACUAACGGAGGGACUGACUCCACGGAGGGUGUAAGACCCGUGUGGGCGCGUGUUAAAGCUGAUUGGGGUUGGCCUCUUUUCCCUGAGAGUCGCGUUGCUCUGGCAUGCAGCGCUAAGCAGGUCGUAAACUCGAUCUAAGGCUAAAUAUUUCCACAGGCCCGAUAGCGAACAAGUACCGUGAGGGAAAGUUGAAAAGCACUCUGAAGAGAGAGUCAAAAGACCGUGAAACCGCUCAGAGUAUAAGCCCAUGGAGCUCGGAAGGCAUACCGCAGUCCUAUAACAAGGUCGGCUUGCAUGAAUGGUCCGUCAGGCAGUGGCAUUGAGUUGAUAACACGCUGACGUGCGGGGGAGGACACUGGUCGCGUAGACGGGCUUCGGCCCGUUUUGCACGGCCAGCUACUCCCUUGAGCACGGACGUUCAAGGGUGCUUGCCGUAUGCGGAAACGCCCACCACGUCUCGUUGCGUGGUCACCCACAGGCUCGACUGUCGAUCGCGUGUUCACCUCGUUCGCAAAGAUGUGUCGAUGGCUGUCCCUGGCCCCCCCUCUAGGGGUCGGGACUGACACUUGCGUUCGAGGCUACUUUUUU
rnacentral:rRNA from 1 species